AUUGAACGCUGGCGGAAUGCUUUACACAUGCAAGUCGAACGGUAACAGGUCUUCGGAUGCUGACGAGUGGCGAACGGGUGAGUAAUAUAUCGGAACGUGCCCAGUCGUGGGGGAUAACGUAGCGAAAGUUACGCUAAUACCGCAUACGAUCUAUAGAUGAAAGCGGGGGAUCGCAAGACCUCGCGCGAUUGGAGCGGCCGAUAUCAGAUUAGGUAGUUGGUGGGGUAAGGGCUCACCAAGCCAACGAUCUGUAGCUGGUCUGAGAGGACGACCAGCCACACUGGAACUGAGACACGGUCCAGACUCCUACGGGAGGCAGCAGUGGGGAAUUUUGGACAAUGGACGCAAGUCUGAUCCAGCCAUUCCGCGUGCAGGAUGAAGGCCCUCGGGUUGUAAACUGCUUUUGUACGGAACGAAAAGGUCUCUCCUAAUACGAGGGGCUCAUGACGGUACCGUAAGAAUAAGCACCGGCUAACUACGUGCCAGCAGCCGCCGUAA
rnacentral:rRNA from 1 species